GCUCCUUCCUAGUUUGGUAAAUAAUCUCCCGUGUGAUCUGCGUUCAGUCCGCCCUCUCUUCCUGCCAGUACAAAUAAUUUGGCAACAUAAACACUGUCAUCGGGGUGAUCGUCUGUAAGCUUCUCUCCAUCAAGCUUCUUCACGGCCUCCUGGCCACGUACCCACGUGACAAGAGGAAGAGUGCAGAGGGUGCCCGCAGUCCUGGCCUUGGGACAGACAGAGCUGCAGAGGGCUGGUCCAGUCGAGCAUAGGACCACGGUGACAGACUCGCUUCUGCGGCUCAGCCUCCUUCUUCCUGCACCCUCGUGGCCCAUUUUGAGACCCAAACAGCAGGCCAGGAGAGAGGCCCCAGGAAAAGGGGCUCAGCCUCACGGAGCCAAGAUUCCCAGGAAAAGCGACGGACACCGGGACGUGGAGACAUGA
rnacentral:lncRNA from 1 species